ensembl:snoRNA U8 U8 small nucleolar RNA
UCAUCAGGUAGGAUAAUUUUUACCUGUUCUUCUUUUUGGAAGGCAGAAUAGAACAUGAUGAUUGGAGCUUGCAUGACUCGUGAUUAACAUCUCUGCAUAAUCAGGACUUGCAAAACUAGUUUCUUAAUGACCAUCUAAA